rnacentral:rRNA from 1 species
AACGAACGCUGGCGGCAUGCCUAACACAUGCAAGUCGAACGAUUGCCUUCGGGUGAUAGUGGCGCACGGGUGCGUAACGCGUGGGAAUCUGCCCUUAGGUUCGGAAUAACAGCUGGAAACGGCUGCUAAUACCGGAUGAUAUCGCGAGAUCAAAGAUUUAUCGCCUGAGGAUGAGCCCGCGUUGGAUUAGGUAGUUGGUGGGGUAAAGGCCUACCAAGCCGACGAUCCAUAGCCGGUCGGAGAGGAUGAUCAGCCACACUGGGACUGAGACACGGCCCAGACUCGUACGGGAGGCAGCAGUGGGGAAUAUUGGGCAAUGGGCGCAAGCCUGAGCCAGCAAUGCCGCGUGAGUGAUGAAGGCCCUAGGGUUGUAAAGCUCUUUUACCCGGGAAGAUAAUGACUGUACCGGGAGAAUAAGCCCCGGCUAACUCCGUG